rnacentral:misc_RNA from 1 species
GAAAUGCGAUACUUGGUGUGAAUUGCAGAAUCCCGUGAACCAUCGAAUCUUUGAACGCACCUUGCGCUCCUUGGUAUUCUGAGGAGCAUGCCUGUUUGAGUGUCAUCAAGUUCUCAACCACACCUGGUGUGGCUUGGAUUUGGGUUGUUGUGGGCUUUUUUUGUAGUCUGCUCCCCUGAAAUUGAUUAGCGGUACCUUGGUGGAACUGUCUACAGGUGUGAUAAUUAUCUACAUCCUAGACAUCUGCUGGAAUGCUGCUUUCUAAACCUUACUUGUAUUUUGACCUCAAAUCAGGUAGGACUACCCGCUGAACUUAA